rnacentral:ribozyme from 14 species
AGGAACGAAGAAGAAGAAUAAAGAAUGAAAGUACUUCAACAAUAAUUCUUUUUCCUUUUCUUUCUUUCUUUCGUUGUUUAGUAUU